rnacentral:rRNA from 1 species
GGCGUCCGGGUGAGUAACACGUGGGUAAUCUACCUCUGGGUGGGGAAUAACACCUCGAAAGAGGUGCUAAUACCGCAUAACGCAGCGGCACCUAAUGGUGAUUAGUUGUUAAAGCGGGGGAUCGCAAGACCUCGCGCCAGGAGAGGAGCCUGCGGCCGAUUAGCUAGUUGGUGAGGUAACGGCUCACCAAGGCUUCGAUCGGUAGCUGGUCUGAGAGGACGGCCAGCCACACUGGCACUGAAAUACGGGCCAGACUCCUACGGGAGGCAGCAGUGGGGAAUUUUGGGCAAUGGGCGCAAGCCUGACCCAGCAACGCCGCGUGAGGGAGGAAAUCCUUCGGGAUGUAAACCUCGCAAGCAGGGGAAGAGUGCUUUCGACCUAAUACGUCGAAAGAAGGACGGUACCCUGCGUAAGCCACGGCUAACUACGUGCCAGCCGCCGCGG